rnacentral:rRNA from 1 species
UUUAGAGUUUGAUCCAUGGCUUCAGGAUGAACGCUAGCGGCGUGCCUAACACAUGCAAGUCGAGCGGGGUGUUGGUUGACACUGAGUAUNUUNCNUUAUAGAGAGGGGGUAUUGAGUGUUGACCAACAUCUAGCGGCGGACGGGUGAGUAACGCGUGAGCAACCUGCCUUGUAUUGGGGGAUAACGUCGGGAAACCGGCGCUAAUACCGCAUAAGACUCCGGAAUCACAUGGUUCUGCAGUCAAAACUCCGGUGGUACAAGAUGGGCUCGCGUCCAAUUAGCUAGUUGGUGAGGUAAAGGCCCACCAAGGCGACGAUUGGUAGCCGAACUGAGAGGUUGAUCGGCCACAUUGGGACUGAGACACGGCCCAGACUCCUACGGGAGGCAGCAGUGGGGAAUAUUGGGCAAUGGGGGAAACCCUGACCCAGCAACGCCGCGUGAAGGAUGAAGGCUUUCGGGUUGUAAACUUCUUUGAUCGGGGACGAAAUGGACGGACCCGAAAAACAAGCCACGC